AGUGAACGCUGGCGGUAGGCCUAACACAUGCAAGUCGAACGGCAGCACAGUAAGAGCUUGCUCUUACGGGUGGCGAGUGGCGGACGGGUGAGGAAUACAUCGGAAUCUACUUUUUCGUGGGGGAUAACGUAGGGAAACUUACGCUAAUACCGCAUACGACCUACGGGUGAAAGCAGGGGAUCUUCGGACCUUGCGCGAUUGAAUGAGCCGAUGUCGGAUUAGCUAGUUGGCGGGGUAAAGGCCCACCAAGGCGACGAUCCGUAGCUGGUCUGAGAGGAUGAUCAGCCACACUGGAACUGAGACACGGUCCAGACUCCUACGGGAGGCAGCAGUGGGGAAUAUUGGACAAUGGGCGCAAGCCUGAUCCAGCCAUGCCGCGUGGGUGAAGAAGGCCUUCGGGUUGUAAAGCGCUUUUGUUAGGAAAGAAAAGCAGCAGGUUAAUACCCCGCUGUUCUGACGGUACCCAAAGAAUAAGCACCGGCUAACUUCGUG
rnacentral:rRNA from 1 species